rnacentral:rRNA from 1 species
AUUGAACGCUGGCGGAAUGCUUUACACAUGCAAGUCGAACGGUAGAGGGGGCAACCCCUCGAGAGUGGCGAACGGGUGAGUAAUAUAUCGGAACGUGCCCAGUCGUGGGGGAUAACGUAGCGAAAGUUACGCUAAUACCGCAUACGCUCUAAGGAUGAAAGCGGGGGAUCGCAAGACCUCGCGCGAUUGGGGCGGCAGAUAUCAGAUUAGGUAGUUGGUGGGGUAAAGGCUCACCAAGCCAACGAUCUGUCACUGGACUGAGAGGACGACCAGCCACACUGGAACUGAGACACGGUCCAGACUCCUACGGGAGGCAGCAGUGGGGAAUUUUGGACAAUGGACGCAAGUCUGAUCCAGCCAUUCCGCGUGCAGGAUGAAGGCCCUCGGGUUGUAAACUGCUUUUGUACGGAACGAAAAGGUCUCUCUUAAUACGGGGGGCUCAUGACGGUACCGUAAGAAUAAGCACCGGCUAACUACGUGCCAGCCGCCGCGGUAA